rnacentral:rRNA from 1 species
ACGCACGCUGGCGGCGUGCUUCACACAUGCAAGUCGAACGGAAAGGCCCUGCUUUUGUGGGGUGCUCGAGUGGCGAACGGGUGAGUAACACGUGAGUAACCUGCCCUUGACUUUGGGAUAACUUCAGGAAACUGGGGCUAAUACCGGAUAGGAGCUCCUGCUGCAUGGUGGGGGUUGGAAAGUUUCGGCGGUUGGGGAUGGACUCGCGGCUUAUCAGCUUGUUGGUGGGGUAGUGGCUUACCAAGGCUUUGACGGGUAGCCGGCCUGAGAGGGUGACCGGCCACAUUGGGACUGAGAUACGGCCCAGACUCCUACGGGAGGCAGCAGUGGGGAAUAUUGCACAAUGGGCGGAAGCCUGAUGCAGCAACGCCGCGUGCGGGAUGACGGCCUUCGGGUUGUAAACCGCUUUCGCCUGUGACGAAGCGUGAGUGACGGUAAUGGGUAAAGAAGCACCGGCUAACUACGUG